rnacentral:rRNA from 1 species
AUGACUACCAAGGCGACGACGGGUAGCCGGCCUGAGAGGGCGACCGGCCACACUGGGACUGAGACACGGCCCAGACUCCUACGGGAGGCAGCAGUGGGGAAUAUUGCACAAUGGGCGAAAGCCUGAUGCAGCGACGCCGCGUGAGGGAUGACGGCCUUCGGGUUGUAAACCUCUUUCAGCAGGGAAGAAGCGAGAGUGACGGUACCUGCAGAAGAAGCGCCGGCUAACUACGUGCCAGCAGCCGCGGUAAUACGUAGGGCGCAAGCGUUGUCCGGAAUUAUUGGGCGUAAAGAGCUCGUAGGCGGCUUGUCACGUCGGUUGUGAAAGCCCGGGGCUUAACCCCGGGUCUGCAGUCGAUACGGGCAGGCUAGAGUUCGGUAGGGGAGAUCGGAAUUCCUGGUGUAGCGGUGAAAUGCGCAGAUAUCAGGAGGAACACCGGUGGCGAAGGCGGAUCUCUGGGCCGAUACUGACGCUGAGGAGCGAAAGCGUGGGGAGCGAACAGGAUUAGAUACCCUGGUAGUCCACGCCGUAAACGGUGGGCACUAGGUGUGGGCAACAUUCCACGUUGUCCGUGCCGCAGCUAACGCAUUAAGUGCCCCGCCGGGGGGGGAGUACGG